CUACGGGGUGCUCCAGUGAGGAAUAUUGCACAAUGGGGGGAACCCUGAUGCAGCAACGCCGCGUGGAGGAUGACGCAUUUCGGUGUGUAAACUCCUUUUAUAUGUCAAGAAAAUGACGGUAGCAUAUGAAUAAGCACCGGCUAACUCUGUGCCAGCAGCCGCGGUAAUACGGAGGGUGCAAGCGUUACUCGAAAUCACUGGGCGUAAAGGACGCGUAGGCGGGUUGGAAAGUCAGGUGUGAAAUCCUACAGCUUAACUGUAGAACUGCACUUGAAACUUCUAAUCUAGAGUAUGGGAGGGGGAGAUGGAAUUAGUGGUGUAGGGGUAAAAUCCGUAGAUAUCACUAGGAAUACCUAAAGCGAAGGCGAUCUCCUGGAACAUUACUGACGCUAAGGCGUGAAAGCGUGGGGAGCAAACAGGAUUAGAUACCCUAGUAGUC
rnacentral:rRNA from 1 species